CAAUAGCGUAUAUUAAAGUUGUUGCGGUAAAAAAGCUCGUAGUUGGAUUUCUACCGAAGAUAGCCGGUCGGGUCUUCGACCUUGUAUCUGGUUUUGUCUUUGGUAUCCUCAUAGGGAACGUUUCUGCGCUUUAUUGCGUGUGGCGGUAUCUAUGACUUUUACUUUGAGGAAAUUAGAGUGUUCACGGCAGGCAAACGCCUUGAAUAUAUUAGCAUGGAAUAAUAACAUAGGAUCUUCGUCCUAUUUUGUUGGUUUCUAGGGCUAAGAUAAUGAUUAAUAGGGAUAAUUGGGGGCAUCUGUAUCAACGCGUCAGAGGUGGAAUUCUUGGAUUGCGUUGCGACAAACUACUGCGAAAGCAUUUGCCAAGGAUGUUUUCAUUGA
rnacentral:rRNA from 1 species